rnacentral:lncRNA from 1 species
CCCAAAACUUGAAGCUAUUAUACAAGUAGUGCGCUGAAUCCACAUGAAUGAAGUGAUAUGUAGGCACUGUACUAGGUAUAAUGUCAUCUAGACAUGAUUUAAGGGGUUCCUGGAUCCAAUCCUCUGGAUACCAAGGCAGGACUGUAUUGCCUAUUUGUGAAAAUGGAGGGCCAGCACACACCGCCCCUGCUGGACGGAGGCUACAGGAGGAGCCCGACGAAGGAGCUCCUGAGCACACACAGGAGCGGGCAAUGCUGAGAACCUUGUCCCCACUCUCCGGGACACUCGCUUGGUGUCGGU